UGGUUCUGGCAUCGAUGAAGAACGCAGCGAAAUGCGAUAAGUAAUGUGAACUGCAGAAUUCAGUGAACCAUCGAAUCUUUGAACGCACAUUGCGCCCGGUGGUAUUCCGCCGGGCAUGCCUGCUCGAGCGUCAUUUAAACCAAUCCAGCCUCGCUGGGUCUUGGGCCUUUCGCCUCUGGGCGGGCCUUAAAAUCAGUGGCGGAGGUCCUCAGCUUCCAAACGUAGUAGAUCAUAUCCCGGUUGAAAUCUCGGGGAACGUCUAGCCACAAAACACUCCAAUUCUGAAAUUUGACCUCGGAUCAGGUAGGGAUACCCGCUGA
rnacentral:misc_RNA from 1 species